GUGGAGGUGUGAGUGAGUGCCAGAGGAUGGAGGGAGGAGAGGGGAGGUGGAAUUCUCGUACACCACGCUCGACACGGAUUUGAGCCACGCUGUGUGUCAGCGCACUGCCCCUCUCUUGCAGCAGAAUGGAGCAUCUGGAGGCAAAUGAGCAAAGUCUGUCCUUGGUUGAAGUGACUGUCCCUUUCUGGAGCGAGUUAAGCCUACAAGAGAAACAGCAGGAGUCAACAGCUGCACGUCAGGCAGGCUGUGCUUACACCCAGCUUUCCUAGAGGAACUUUAGAAGCUGCACCCAAAACUUCUGUGGUCUUCUGUAACAGUUAUGUCAAUGCAAAGGUGAACCUCCAGCAGAAGACAGUCAGGUGACUUAAGGAAUGAUAGUCAUGCUCUUAUUUUUUUACAUUCAUGGGGAGUGAAACAGAUUAAUUUUACCUUAUUGGAAAAUUAUCUCAGUUGAACCCUUACUGGCAACAAAUGUCAGCUCAGCAAGGUUGUCUACAGAGCACAGACUAUUUAUCUUUGGUCUCUUGUGCUUUGUCCAAACACUCAGCCAUUCCUCCACCAAUUAUAAUAAAGGUAGUGCCUCAAAUGCAUCAAAAGGUUUACAUUGAGGAAGUUGUGGUUUUUUGGUGGGUUGUUUCUUUGGGGUUUUUUUUUAAUAAAUUCUGUCCUGUGGAAGUCUGGGGAAGUUGCUCUACAAUGAAACUCUGAAACCAGCCAUCUGAAUGUGGAAUGACAUAGCCCACCACCAGGUCUGUAAUAAAGAAGCAUGUUGAAUCUGAAGAUGUAAAUGUCCUUUCCCUGGUUCCAGUUCUCAUUUCAGUGUCUAAUCAGAUCUCCAACAUCUGGCUAGAUGCUGCUGUGUGAGCAGCUGUUCCACAUCUGGGACAUUGGACAGUAACAAUUAACUGAAUGGAAGAAAGAGUCUGAGCCAGGAAUCUGAGCUUUAUAACAAUCUUGGUUUGAAAAGAACUUUAGGAUUUACUGAAGAGUUAGGAGGAAGAAAUCCCACGUUCUUGGGCCAAAUAAUAUCUCCUCCAGUAAUGUAUGUGACAACAUCCCAAGGAAGUAAUGACAAGAAAGAAGAACUAGUCAGUGCUAGUUAAAAUGCUUUUCUUCCCCUUUCUUAUUUUUCUUUGCUCAGUUUCCUAGAGGAUUUGUUCUUGACCCAGCUGUGCUGUGGUACCAAACAUGACUCAAACUACUACUUGACUAAUGUCACCAUUUACAGUCUUUCUCUGCAGCCAGAGUGGGAAAAUAUGCUUCCAUUUCUGUCUCUGUUGCAGGCCAAAUCCCAGUUACUCAGGGAAAAAUAAGCAAAUGGACAAGCCAGGUCAUGACAACUGGUUUAGGCCGUACGGGGGAGUUGUAUGAAUUCCUCCAUAGAAUAGUUUUCUCAGGACACAACAGUGUACAGCUCAAGAGUGGAGCAGAAUUUGGUAUCAUCCCUUGCCACUAGUAUGUCAACUGCACCACUCAGCUUGGUGUCAUCUGCAAAAUUGCUGAGGAUGCACUUCAUCCCAGUACCUGGGCCAUUACUGUUAAAUUGUACUAAUAUUGAACAGGUUUGGUCCCUGUAUGGACUUACGAGGGUUUUCUAUGGACUUUUGACCACUCCUGCAAGGGUCAGUGCACACUGCAAGGACACCACUCUGCUUUCUUAGGCAUACCUGGUGCAUUUUUUGUUCUUUUCUCAGUUUGCUCCAGUCCCACUCCAAUAAGAACAGCCUAACGGGGAACAACUCUUGUUGUAAAUAUGAGCCUGAGUUUACACAGUAAUUUGUACCAAAAAAUUUCCUAUCCAGAAUUCUUAAUAGCCAUCUAUGGUAUCCUAUUAGGCAGAGAAACCCUGCGCUUGGCCAGCUCUGACUGAGAUUUAAAUAAAACAGUUUAUUAAGGAAAAAAACCAAACAAACCAAAGCAUCUCAACAGUUCCCCAAAUAAAAGUUUCUGGCUGGUCCCUCCUGAUUUCCUGCAACACUUACCCACUUAUGCAGCUUCCUAGUUCUUGUUUAAGGACACUUGCUGAGAUGAGAAUGAGUUUGCUGCUGUUAACAGGGGACCAUGGCUGGCAGUCAUACUGCAUGGAUUUAGCCAUGACAUCUUUGAGGAUGCAGAGGCCACAAGAAGAGCAGUGUCUCCUCCUUGAAUGCCCUGUAAGGGGGAGAAAUGAAAUAGAGUGAAUAUGAAGCAGGGACUGUAAAUGGCAGCAAAACUUCCCCAGGAAACCUAGCACCAAGCCCCAAACCAUUGAAGAAGGAGACAAAGCCCAUGUGGCAGGAAUUUGGUAUCUGUUGCUGAGCAGAACAGAGCCCACCCUUUGCACAGCAACAAGAGCUCAUUUUGACUGAUUUCCAUGGAUAUCUGCUUCCACUACAUCUGCUGUGAGGAAUUGCAGUUUGAAGGCUUUAAAUAGAUCACAGUUAUUGCCACAAAAGGCACUAAUAAAAGGGGCUUAUACUUCA